rnacentral:sRNA from 1 species
GAUUGAUGCGACUACGGUUUCAUCAACACGACCCUUAGUUCUUUAGGGAGUAUCAGGACUUCAGGGGAGAAUUAAUCCUUCACUAUGUGAAUGGUGUAAACACAUGAACAAU